GACGAACGCUGGCGGCGUGCUUAACACAUGCAAGUCGAACGGAAAGGCCCUGCUUUUGUGGGGUGCUCGAGUGGCGAACGGGUGAGUAACACGUGAGUAACCUGCCCUUGACUUUGGGAUAACUGCGGGAAACUGGGGCUAAUACCGGAUAGGAGCUCCUGCUGCUUGGUGGGGGUUGGAAAGUUUCGGCGGGUGGGGAUGGACUCGCGGCUUAUCAGCUUGUUGGUGGGGUAGUGGCUUACCAAGGCUUUGACGGGUAGCCGGCCUGAGAGGGUGACCGGCCACAUUGGGAUUGAGGUGCGGCCCAGACUCCUACGGGAGGCAGCAGUGGAGAAUAUUGCACAAUGGGCGGAAGCCUGAUGCAGCAACGCCGCGUGCGGGAUGACGGCCUUCGGGUUGUAAACCGCUUUCGCCUGUGACGAAGCGUGAGUGACGGUAAUGGGUAAAGAAGCACCGGCUAACUACGUG
rnacentral:rRNA from 1 species